rnacentral:rRNA from 1 species
AGCGAACGCUGGCGGCAGGCCUAACACAUGCAAGUCGAACGAACCCUUCGGGGUUAGUGGCGGACGGGUGAGUAACACGUGGGAACGUGCCUUUAGGUUCGGAAUAACUCAGGGAAACUUGUGCUAAUACCGAAUGUGCCCUUCGGGGGAAAGAUUUAUCGCCUUUAGAGCGGCCCGCGUCUGAUUAGUUAGUUGGUGAGGUAAUGGCUCACUAAGGCUACGAUCAGUAGCUGGUCUGAGAGGAUGACCAGCCACAUUGGGACUGAGACACGGCCCAAACUCCUACGGGAGGCAGCAGUGGGGAAUCUUGCGCAAUGGGCGAAAGCCUGACGCAGCCAUGCCGCGUGGAUGAUGAAGGUCUUAGGAUUGUAAAAUCCUUUCACCGGUGAAGAUAAUGACUGUAGCCGGAGAAGAAGCCCCGGCUAACUUCGUGCCAGCAGCCGCGGUAACAC